UACGAGAACGUCUCCCCCGAGAGUCGGAGGUUGUCACGAGCCAGAGGUUGGCUUAAUGUGUCAAAAGCCGGAGGUUGUCUUAAGGAUACGUGUCGUCAAAUGGCUGGGUGAUGUUUGAACUUCUCCUCGAUUUUACCAUUGCGAGUUACUGUUUGUUUUACCCCUCUAUAAAAAAAGGGGAGGAGGGGGGUCACUUUCAUGCUCGCAUGCUCUUGCGAAGCUCUUGCUCGUGUUUUCUAUCGAACACGUGUCAGUAGCUGAUUCGCCCCCCUCUUCGCGAAGUGAAAGCGAUCUUCUUGAGUGUUCGUGAUUGAGAGUUGUGACUUUUGGUGGGAUCUCUGUUGAGCUUGGUAAGUUUUGUUUUUCUAUUUAGACCUUCGCUGCGAGCUUUGGAAAUGGGCUGUACUUAUCUUUUAUUUCUCCUUAGACAUGGUUCGCGUCAGGAUAACAGCCAAGGAGUUUGAUCCUGAGAAUCCGGAUCAUCCUGCCGAAGAACAACAGAACCUGUCCGAAGGUGAGCAGGAUAUCUCGCAAGUUGACAUGGAUCCUUCGGGGCUAAUGGGUGGGAAAGAGAAACCUCCGCCGACCUUAAGGUUUGGUCGAUCCCUGGCUACCAAGGAUUUGGUUGAUGGUUAUGCUCGGAGAGUUUAUUUCGAGCCGCGAGUGUGUCGUGCUCCCGAAGGUGAGGAGAUCCCCGAUCCUCGAGAGGGAGAGUGCGCUGUAUUUCGUGAUUUCUUUGUCGCUGGUCUUCGAUUUCCACUUGAUCAUGUAGUACCAGAAAUUUUGAUCCGUUUUGGUUUGAAGCUGCACUAGUUGACUCCCAACGCAUUUGUGCAAAUGUUGAAGUUUUUCUGGGCGGUCAAGACCUUCGGGGGACCUGUGAGUGUAGAUGCUUUUUGCAGGCUUUAUGAGAUGCAUCCACAGGGGAGGAAGGUUUCCUUUGAAGAUGAUGAUUAGUUGUAUACAGCUCAGAGUGGAUGCUGUUCGUUUCAUCCCCGAAGGUCGAACAAGGUCCAGAAGAUUGAGCGUAUCGAGUUGUCUUUUUGUCAGAAGAACAAAUGGGAAGAUGAGUGGGUGCAAUAUUGGUUUUAUGCGAAGAUCGCCUUUUCGGCGUCUGAUCCUUCGGGUGGGGUUUCUUAUCCCCUUGCCAUGAAGGUUCAGCUAUUCAUUUAUGUGACCAAGGCAGAUUUCAGGACGGCUGUGCCUGGUUACAAGGAUUGUUGUGUUGCCUUUGCCUCUGCGGCGGGUGUUAUCAGUGGCCGUGAUCUGAUUGAGGAGUUUUUGGCCGCUAAGGUUUGGCCCUUGACUGAUGGGUGGUUGCCAGGCAAUUUUUUGAAGAUUGAGGUUAGCGGCUUGAAGGAUAAGCUACCAUUUCCCAAAUUCCAUUUGGAGAGACCUGCGGGUAUCUCAGAUGACUUGAUUGUGGAGGAAGUUGAGUAGGAGGCUGUUGUUCUAGGUGGGCCAUAUACUCUUAAGGAGUAUGACUCAUUUGUUGAGUGUUGUCCCGCGUGGAUUAGGGUGAACCACAGUUUGCUGGAGAUGAAGGUUGCCUACGGACCUCGCAAAGCUCCUCGCGAUAAGAAAGGAAGGGGAUCCGGAGGAUCGUCUUCUUCUGUGAAAGUUAGCGAUGAGCCUGCUUCCAACAGGACCAAGAAGGCUGUCCCCGAGGCUGGUGCUAGCCAUCUUUUGAAUGUUGUUAGUGCAAAGGCUUCGCGCUUGUCUGAGGCUGCUAAGAGGACCUCCGGGAGGCCUCCGUUGGCCCCCAGCUCCAAGUCCUUUGCUAGCAAAGCAGUGGAGCGGAAAAAGAAAGGUAUUUAUCCCAGCGGUUAUUCUUUUCCUAUCGAUAAGGAAGAUAUGGGAUUUCAUGAAGGAGCUCCGUGCGACGGAGUGCAAUGUUCCUUGGCGUCGUCGUAAGGGGAGGAGAAUUGAUCUUUAUUUUGAUCAAUUUGGUUCCUUUCAUGCAGUGUCGGAUAGCAUUAGCUCAGUGUUUGUUGAUAUCCACAAGAGACCAAGAGGCCCUCUUCGGAUGGUUAACUUGCUGGAAGAUGAUAGCGAUGAGGAUUCACCUACGGAUUCCCUGAAGAUUCAGCUUAAGGGGAGGUACGUUGGUGCCGAUGCUCAGAAGGAUGACGAAGAGAUGGCUAACCCUGAGGGUGAAACUCCCUUUGUUGCAGGUCGAGAUGCUGGAGUUCCCACAGAUGUCAUAGCUUCGCAGGCGCCGAGAGUGUCCUCGCCUAACAACAACGGAGAGAAGUGCCAAGAGGUCCAUGAUACGGCCGUUGCUCCCUCAACCGGAGAUGCCAGCAAGUUUUUUGAGCUAGACGUUGCAAACAUGGUUUCGGUGCUCGGAGGGCUGCUAGAGCUGGAACCCUCAGGUGCCGGGGCUUCUGCCCAGGGGGAAGUUGGGGGUCAGCCUGCUCUUGUUGAGGAUGAUGAGUGCUUCGACUCCCAAGGCAAGUUGUUCAUUUUGCAGUUCUUUUUGGGUUAGAGGGUUACUCUAAUAGAUGUUCCGUUUGUGUAGGCUUCGUGAAGAGCUUGGGAGUUUAUGGCACCGGGGAUCUUGGGAGGAUUACUGCAUCCUUGUGCUUGAAGGCUCUUUUGGCGAGUCGUGUAGCUGUGAGCGGCGCAAAGAAGGAUGAGGCUAGGUUUUUGUCAAUGUCUUUCGACAUCCUUCGGUUGAAGGAGGAGAACAAUCAGUAGAAGAGGGAGAACAAAGCUCUGGAGGAUGUUCGGGUUUCCUUGAAGUCUGAGAACCAAGUGUUGACUGAGAAGAUGGUGGUGCAAGAAGGUGUUAUUAAAAAGAUGCAGGAAGGUAUAAAUUUGAAUGAGAGCAUAAUGGAGAACCUUUGGGCCACCAUCGAUCAAGACAGUUUGAAGAUCAUAAACCUUCAGACAGAGGUUCGUCAGCUUUGGGC